rnacentral:rRNA from 1 species
CCCGCAACGAGCGCAACCCCUCGCAUUCAGUUGCCAUCGGGUAAUGCCGGGCACUCUGGAAGGACUGCCAUCGACAAGAUGGAGGAAGGUGGGGAGUGACGUCAAGUCAUCAUGGCCCUUAUGUCCAGGGCGACACACGUGCUACAAUGGCCGGCACAACGGGAAGCGAGUUCGCGAGGACGAGCGGAUCCCUUAAAGCCGGUCUCAGUUCGGAUUGAAGUCUGCAACUCGACUUCAUGAAGCUGGAAUCGCUAGUAAUCGCAGAUCAGCCAAGCUGCGGUGAAUACGUUCCCGGGCCUU